UUGUUUCGGUAUAAUUCCAGAAAUAUCUCCAAGUAAAGCUCUAUAGUAUGAAUGAAUCAAUCCAUUAAAAAUAUCUUAUGAUAUUUAAUUUGAUAGACACGAUAAUUGUGUUAAAAUUAUUUUAACAUUAUGUGGCGGCGGCAGUGGAAUCAGUUAUCAUAAGGAUAGAGCAAUGGUAAUGUCAUAUCCAAAGUAUUGGAAUAUAUGUAAAAGCGGCUCAGUUAAUGUAAAUUUAUCAGACUUGAAUAUUAGGAGGGAUCACCCCCAGAUGCGAAUACCGCCGAACUCAACAAAACAAAGAUGAAAAAUGGGACCAUAAUAAAUGCUUUUUCAUAAAAGUAAUUUGUACUAAUUAACUAUUUUUUGAUAUUAUUUAUAUGCAAUACAUUAGUAUUCUAAAAUUA